rnacentral:rRNA from 1 species
GGCAUUGGGGGGUCUAUACAUGCAAGUAGAACGCUGAAGAGAGGAGCUUGCUCUUCUUGGAUGAGUUGCGAACGGGUGAGUAACGCGUAGGUAACCUGCCUUGUAGCGGGGGAUAACUAUUGGAAACGAUAGCUAAUACCGCAUAACAAUGGAUGACACAUGUCAUUUAUUUGAAAGGGGCAAUUGCUCCACUACAAGAUGGACCUGCGUUGUAUUAGCUAGUAGGUGAGGUAAUGGCUCACCUAGGCGACGAUACAUAGCCGACCUGAGAGGGUGAUCGGCCACACUGGGACUGAGACACGGCCCAGACUCCUACGGGAGGCAGCAGUAGGGAAUCUUCGGCAAUGGGGGCAACCCUGACCGAGCAACGCCGCGUGAGUGAAGAAGGUUUUCGGAUCGUAAAGCUCUGUUGUAAGUCAAGAACGGGUGUGAGAGUGGAAAGUUCACACUGUGACGGUAGCUUACCAGAAAGGGACGGCUAACUACGUGCCAGCAGCCGCGGUAAUACGUAGGUCCCGAGCGUUGUCCGGAUUUAUUGGGCGUAAAGCGAGCGCAGGCGGUUUGAUAAGUCUGAAGUUAAAGGCUGUGGCUCAACCAUAGUUCGCUUUGGAAACUGUCAAACUUGAGUGCAGAAGGGGAGAGUGGAAUUCCAUGUGUAGCGGUGAAAUGCGUAGAUAUAUGGAGGAACACCGGUGGCGAAAGCGGCUCUCUGGUCUGUAACUGACGCUGAGGCUCGAAAGCGUGGGGAGCGAACAGGAUUAGAUACCCUGGUAGUCCACGCCGUAAACGAUGAGUGCUAGGUGUUGGAUCCUUUCCGGGAUUCAGUGCCGCAGCUAACGCAUUAAGCACUCCGCCUGGGGAGUACGACCGCAAGGUUGAAACUCAAAGGAAUUGACGGGGGCCCGCACAAGCGGUGGAGCAUGUGGUUUAAUUCGAAGCAACGCGAAGAACCUUACCAGGUCUUGACAUCCCGAUGCUAUUUCUAGAGAUAGAAAGUUACUUCGGUACAUCGGUGACAGGUGGUGCAUGGUUGUCGUCAGCUCGUGUCGUGAGAUGUUGGGUUAAGUCCCGCAACGAGCGCAACCCCUAUUGUUAGUUGCCAUCAUUCAGUUGGGCACUCUAGCGAGACUGCCGGUAAUAAACCGGAGGAAGGUGGGGAUGACGUCAAAUCAUCAUGCCCCUUAUGACCUGGGCUACACACGUGCUACAAUGGUUGGUACAACGAGUUGCGAGUCGGUGACGGCGAGCUAAUCUCUUAAAGCCAAUCUCAGUUCGGAUUGUAGGCUGCAACUCGCCUACAUGAAGUCGGAAUCGCUAGUAAUCGCGGAUCAGCACGCCGCGGUGAAUACGUUCCCGGGCCUUGUACACACCGCCCGUCACACCACGAGAGUUUGUAACACCCGAAGUCGGUGAGGUAACCUUUGGAGCCAGCCGCUAAGGGAAACAAAGU